GCCUCCUUGAAUAGCUCUAUGACUUGACUCUGGAAUAUCUCCACAGCCAGUCCUACGCAAUCGGCUUCCCAGAACUUGGCUCUGCCUGCCAUCCUUCAGCUGGAAGAUCUAAACUUCCCUGAAAUCAAACGGAAGAAGCCGGGCGAAAAGAAAGAUGACAAGAGGGAAUUUGAGGACCUCUUUGAGAUGGAGAGCAGUUUGGAAGAAGAAAGCUCCGGUGUCUUUUCCAUCAAAGGGGGCAAAAGGGCCGUGCCUGGAGGCCGGGGCCGAAAACCGCCGUCUCGGGCAGAGCUGCAGCAGCUGGCACGAGGAGGAGGGGACGCGGUGGAAGACUUGGCCUUCUCCGACGGGGACUGAUGGACGGGCCGGGGGGAUGAUCGGACAGCUGUUCCCCGUGGGGGUGCCGAGGAGGGGGCUGCAUUGUUCAAGCUGGCCCUGGAGCGGCGUUUAUGCGCUUGGGGAGACACGCCAUAAAAUUUGGGAUCGGGCAGGGGAGCAGUAAAAAGACUGCUGUAGCUGUAAGAGCUGCUGCUUUUGAAUUUGUGGGUUUUUUUAAAACAAUCUCAGAACAAAACCCAGCCAGCAGUGCUCCCUCUCCUGGACUACAGCCCCACCCCUGGCACUGAAGAUUCAGAGAUGAAGACAAUUUCCCACUGCGGUUACUGCAUAAACACUUUUUUUUUGAAGGACUUCUCUG